rnacentral:rRNA from 1 species
UAAUUUUUUCUAUUAGGGAUAAGCUUAAUAGAAUUUCUUUAAAUAAAAAUUAUUUAUUUAAAUAAGGAAUAAAAUUUUCUAAGUUUUUUUGUAAAAAAUUUUUUUAUUAUUCAAGUUAUGUAAGAUUUUUAUAUGAUUAAAUUAAUUUUUUUUUUAAUAAAAUUAUUAAAAAAUUAGUAAAUUUAAAAAAAAAGUAAUGAAAAAUUAAAAUAUAUUAAUAAAAUGAAAAUUUAAUUAUAGUAAUUCGGCAAAUUAAUUUAAUUGACUGUUUAUCAAAAACAUUUCAUCUUGAAAAGUAAUAAGAUGUAUAAUCUGCUCAAUGAUUUUUUAAAUUGCUGUGGUAUUUUGACUAUACAAAGGUAUUGAAAUAAGAUUUUAAAUGAGUGCUAAGAGAAUGAUUAAACAAUUAAAAGCUUUCUUUAAUUAAAUAAUUAAAUUUAAUUUUUUUAGUGCAAAAGCAAAAAUAAAAUUUAGGGACAAGAAGACCCUAUGAAUUUUUAUUGUUAAUAAUUAAAAUUUAAAUUAUUAAUAAUUUAAUUGGGGCGAUAAAAAAAGAAUAAGUAUCUUUUUAGUUAUAAAAUAAGUUCCGUUUUUAGCGAUUAAAUGAAAUAAAUACUCUAGGGAUAACAGCGUAAUAAUUUUGGAUAGUUCAUAUAGAUAAAAUAGUUUGCGACCUCGAUGUUGGAUUAGGAUUC